GAUGAACGCUGGCGGCGUGCCUAAUACAUGCAAGUCGAGCGAACAGACGAGGAGCUUGCUCCUCUGACGUUAGCGGCGGACGGGUGAGUAACACGUGGAUAACCUACCUAUAAGACUGGGAUAACUUCGGGAAACCGGAGCUAAUACCGGAUAAUAUAUUGAACCGCAUGGUUCAAUAGUGAAAGACGGUUUUGCUGUCACUUAUAGAUGGAUCCGCGCCGCAUUAGCUAGUUGGUAAGGUAACGGCUUACCAAGGCAACGAUGCGUAGCCGACCUGAGAGGGUGAUCGGCCACACUGGAACUGAGACACGGUCCAGACUCCUACGGGAGGCAGCAGUUGGGAAUCUUCCGCAAUGGGCGAAAGCCUGACGGAGCAACGCCGCGUGAGUGAUGAAGGUCUUCGGAUCGUAAAACUCUGUUAUUAGGUAAGAACAAAUGUGUAAGUAACUAUGCACGUCUUGACGGUACCUAAUCAGAAAGCCACGGCUAACUACGUG
rnacentral:rRNA from 1 species